rnacentral:rRNA from 1 species
UAUUGGACAAUGGGCGCAAGCCUGAUCCAGCCAUGCCGCGUGAGUGAUGAAGGCCNUANNGUUGUNANGCUCUUUCACCGAUGNNNNNAAUGACGGUAGACGGAGAAGAAGCCCCGGCUAACUUCGUGCCAGCAGCCGCGGUAAUACGAAGGGGGCUAGCGUUGUUCGGAUUUACUGGGCGUAAAGCGCACGUAGGCGGAUUGGUCAGUUAGAGGUGAAAUCCCGAAGCUCAACUUCGGAACUGCCUUUAAUACUGCCAGUCUCGAGUCCGGAAGAGGGAAGUGGAACUCCUAGUGUAGAGGUGGAAUUCGUAGAUAUUAGGAAGAACACCAGUGGCGAAGGCGGCUUACUGGUCCGGAACUGACGCUGAGGUGCGAAAGCGUGGGGAGCAUACAG